UUUAAGUUCCAGGCUGUGGGAGUAAUGCAAGUUUUAUAUUGAAGGGACAAUUUGUGUGGCUCUUAAAAGAUGGAUGCAACGGUGACGACCGACGGUACACGGGUUCAACACGUAAAAGAUCAUAUUUCAAAUUCAGUAUGUUAGAUUUGUAUUUUAUGGAAAUGGCUGGGGAAUAAAUUGAUAUUUGAAAUGAAGCGUAGCAAUCCUGCACUCCGGUUUAAUUAAGAUCCUUGAAUAGCAGAUAACGUACAGUGUUUUACUCUGUCGCCAGUGGUGCGCAAAAGUGUGAACACGUGAAACAUAUUUUCACGCUAACUGUUCAGUUUCAAGGAGAAGACGGACAACGAAGGACCAAGAAUGAAAAAAGGAAAGACCAUUAACCUGAAUCACAGAGAUUGUGCAGCUGAGUUUGUUGUGAAGAAACUGGAGACCACAGAGAGAUUGUGCAGCUGAGUUUGUUGUGAUGAAACUGGUGAUGUUGGCUACUGUUGGUGCAUUUAGUCCACAACUUGAUCCACUAACUUUGAUUACAGAGAGAUUGUGCAGCUGAGUUUGUUGUGAUGAAACUGGUGGUCACAGAGAGAUUGUGCAGCUGAGUUUGUUGUGACGAAACUGGUGGUCACAGAGAGAUUGUGCAGCUGAGUUUGUUAUGAUGAAACUGGUGGUCACAGAGAGAUUGUGCAGCUGAGUUUGUUGUGAUGAAACUGGUGGUCACAGAGAGAUUGUGCAGCCGAGUUUGUUGUGAUGAAACUGGAGGUGUUAGCUAGUGUUGGUGCAUUUAGUCCACAACUUGACCAUUAACCCGAAUCGCAGAGAUUCACUGUGCAGCUGAGUUUGUUGUGAUGAAACUGGAGACCACAGAGAGAUUGUGCAGCCGAGUUUGUUGUGAUAAAACUGGUGGUGUCAGCUAGUAUUGGUGAAUUCAAGAUCACAGAGAGACUGUGCAGCUGAGUUUGUUGUGAUGGAAUUGGUGGUGUCAGCUAGUGUUGGUGCAUUUAGUCCAGAACUUGGAUGCUUCUUUUACCAACACAUUAAAUUGAUGAAGGUAUUACGGCUUGUUUCAUACACAUGGCCUCUAGAUGGACCUACCCACUCAACCCCACUGGUAGUUCUGCUUCCUUAUAAGCUGUUAUGGUAAUAAAUGGACAAGUGACACAUUUUCACCCUUACUGUUCAGUGAGUUUCAAGGACAAAGAAGGAUAACCAAGAAGGAAGGCUGACUAUUCCUAUGGAAAUGUGAAAUGGUGCGAGCCCUUGUUUUGUCUUCUGCUCCCAAUCAGAUACUUCAAUCUUUCAUUAGGAUGGAACUUGACUUUGGCAGACUGUUAUGAAGAUGUGAUUGUAAAAAUGGUGCUGAAUUUAAAAAUGGUUUGGGAUGAAAGCAGGGAACCUAUAAAAUACAGUAAUUUCCAUAUUAUACAGGAAAUCUUAAAUCAUUUAUACAAAACUUGAGGAUAAAACAUGUGGAAAAUGUUAGUUUUUGAUUGAAGAGAAGAGUGAACAUGAAUAAUGCUGAAAUUUAAAGAUGCCCGGAAGUUUUAAACCCAUUUUACCGAGAGAGUCGAGACUAUGGGGAUUAUCGUAGUUAUGUAACCAGACAAAACUUUGUUAAAAGUCUUACAAGCAUAAAGGAGAGAAGACAGUAAACAAGAAGUAUGACAGAAAAUCUGACUGUUAACAUGCACUGUUUUAUGGUUGAUAGAAACACUAAAAUUGUUUUAGUUUCUAACGAAGAAAGUUUGACACCAGUGACAUUAGGAAGUUUUAAGAUUUAUAGUUUCUUUUCAAUAUUUGUUGGCAAAGCAAGGGAUUUUAGUUAUCAUCCCAUUCUCUGAUGUGUUGUAUCGAUAAGUUUCAUUUAAAUAAAAAAGUUAAAA